UUAAAGGAUUAAGUAAUGUCUUGAGGAGAUUAUCCCUGAAUGAUGUCUGAAUAUAGGGUUAUAGGCUCUUGAUAAUCCUCUGAGCGAAUGUGGCAUGGUCUUCAGAAUUUCCUUUUAAGAUGCUAUUUGCUCAUGACUGUUUUCUGCUUUCCAGAAAAGUUUCAAUGGAUAUGGAAGCAUAUUGAACCAAAAAUGCCACCUGCCUUUUAAUCCUGCUGUGAUGAUCAGUGUGUCUCUCAUAGCCAGAAAGCAAAGUAUUUUUUUUUUCUCAAGUGAUUUAAGAGACUAGGAUGCUGACAUCAAGCUUUUACUCUGACAUAUUAUAAUAUAUAUGUAUAUUUAGAAGACAGUCUUUAAUAUAUGAAUCUGGAUCAUAACCUUACCCAGUCAUCUCAAAGUUUAGUUUUAAAAAACUCCCAUUUUGUAAAAUCUAUCAUGUCUUCAUCUCUGUACUUGUAUAUGAAUAUAUCGAAACAGAUCAUAGUUUAGUGGCUUGGGUUUUUUAUUUCAUAAAUCAAAUCUAGGUUCGGUGUUCUGUUAGUGUUUUUGAUUUGUGUUGUAUAUCCUGCUUCUAGCUCCAGGGUGGAAGGCAGACAUUUUGAAAGUGCGUGCUUGCUACUGGAACAUCUGGGUAUUGGGGAGCUGUGACCACACUGGCUUCGAUUUGAUAGGGUUUGAAUAAAAUAGUAUCAGUUUUGGGACUGGAUGUGAUGUACUGCUGGAUCACUUUCUGGGGUCUUUUUCCUUCUGACCAUGAGAGAGAUUUACAGAACUUGGUUUCUGUGUCUUUCACUUAACAUCCUCUUUUGUAAACUGUCGUGAUGUGUUUGUCUUUAUGCAAGAACUUCCAUUCCUCAUCACUUCUUGCUUUGGCUGCUGAAGAUAGUUCUAGUUAUGUCACUGUCAACACUUAAAAGGCCCAUUUCUCUGAAAUCUGGUCCCUUUUCAGUCUUGAAACAUGGUAUCUUUUAGAUGCCAGUGUACAAGUCCAGCAGCAACAUUUCUUUAGUGCCCCUUAGUUCACCCUAAUGCAUGGGCAGUGUGCAGAGGCAGCAUUGGAGUGCAAUGCUCCAGCUGUGGUAAGUGUCAGAAUAUGUAUGACGUGCUUAAAGAAUGCAUGAAUCCAACUCUAAGCAUGUGCCCUAUCCCCUGGACCUCUCCCUCUGCUGAAUCUAACUUAUAAAUAACUUUACAGCUGUUCCCUCUUUACAAAACAAAGUGUUCUUCAUCUUCAGAAGGUGGCCCCUCACUAAAGAAAUAACUGUCGGAAGGGCUGUUUUUGUUUUAGUAGCUGAUGUGUGUAGCAUGUCCCUUCUUUCUUAAAUUGUUUCAUCAUACAAGUCUAUCUGUUAAUUACUGUCUAGGUGGUGGGUUUUUUUUUUUUCCCCACGCUGGCAUUCAAAUAAAUAACCUUGAAAAGGUCAGGCUGCUGCUGAUUUUUCCUAGUUAUAGUGGUAGGAAGAAUACCUCAUGCUUCCUUUAUUUCAUAGUUACACAGUGCUUAUGAGACAUUACUUUAUAUCUUGGGGGGUGUGGGAACAUUUUUUAAACAAAUAACUUCCUUCAGUUCUGCUGUAAGUAGUUUACAGAUGCUUUUUCUAUAGUAUGCAAAAAUGGCCUAUUAACACAUUUUGGUUUAAAAGCCCUUGUUCUUUUUUAGUUCAUAAUAAAUAUAGAUGAUCUUUGGAGAAUUUUCCUCUUUCCCCUUUUUUAAUCUCCACUCGGAGGAAAGGAUUUAUAUAGACACCUAUAUUUAUAGAAGCCUUCAACGAGUUUAAGUUAGAAGAGUUGUUUAAGGAUUUCCUGCCCUUCCCUUUCCAUAGUUAGCCUUUUCUAGUGUUGCAUGUGCACUGCUUCCAUGAUGAGUUAGUGUAUACACUGUACUAUUGUCCCUGUUGCCUUUUCUUUCUCCUUUCUGCCUUAAAUAGAAAUAGAUAAUCAACACUGCAACUGUAUCCGGCCAUGGGAAUGAUCUUAUUUACAUUUGUCUUGGUUAAAGAUUAUAAUCUUGUAAUGGAUUGAACUACAGUAUUGCUGGACAGUCUUUUUUAGGUAUUUUUGUAUACUUCUAAGAAGCAUCUUCUUGAAGGUUGUUUUGAUCAUUUGAAACCAAAUUCUCUCUCUGUGAUGGGGGUGGAGGAAUGUUUAUGACUGACCUUGCAGGAACUUUCUCCUUCCCUUUUUCAGUCCCUCUACCCAAAUACUGCAAAAAGACUUUGUUUUUUAUGAUAUAUUCUUUCUAUUGUAAAUAUAUUGCCUGUAGAUAAUUUUGUAAUUAAAGUGAAUCAGUUAAUGAAUUUAAAUAGAAAUAAAUACAGGAGAAAUGGGUAGAGUUUUUUGGAAAAACUUGUUUUGAUUGGCAUUUAUUCUGUAAUUUUAGGUAUAUAAAGGUAUUUGAGUCUUGCAUCUUAAGAUGACUAAGAUGUGUAUUAUCUUAGUAAAGAUGCACAAUCUUCAUAGCUUUUCUGCUUUGCUUUUACAUUUUUUUCCCUGACUUCUUAGAAGAUGGUCACUCAUUUCUCUGCUCUGUUUUCUGUUUGGAAGAGGAAAAGAUUUUCCUGGAACAGCUAAAACUUUAAAAAUGGAGGUGGCAACUGCACACCAGGACUGUGGUCUUCAAUUUUUAGCAUAAACUGAGUCUAGCCAUGUCUAUCUGCAAUAAGUAUCUACACUAAUAUACAAAAUAUGCUAGUGAUAAUAGUGCAGGACUAAUGUUUUGAUAAAUAUUGUUGACAAAUAUUUGAGCUUCAGUUUUGAAACAUUUCUUUUUACAUCUGAAAAUAACAUCCAACAGUUCAAAGGUUUAUAGCCAUUGAAUACUUUUUUCAAAUAGUGCUCCUAUAUAGUACUCGGCAUGAUGAUGUAGUACAGAUAGAUAGGUUUUUCUUUUGUGUGUCCUAUUACAUGGAAUCAGAUGCUUAAAUUUUGUUAGAACUGCACAAAUUUUUGUCUCUAUUUUUAUGACUGGAAAUUCAGUGACUAAAAUACUUGUAAGCAUAUGAAAUAGUGAAUGGUCAUGUGUUUGCUGUUCCACAUUAUAAACAAAGUUAAUGAGAGGAGCUGGUGAUGACAGUCUUAACUCCAUGCUUCAUGCCCCUUUUUCCAUUUUGUCAUUGUGUGGGUGUUACCUUGACUUAAUACGCUGCACGUAGCACUGUGUAAUUUGUAAAACCAGUUUGUGUACUUAUAGUGCUGUGCUCUGUGAUUUCUUUACUGUAAAUAAAUUUGCAAAUAUUA